rnacentral:rRNA from 1 species
CCUACGGGCGGCUGCAGUGGGGAAUAUUAGACAAUGGGGGCAACCCUGAUCCAGCCAUGCCGCGUGUGUGAAGAAGGCCCUCGGGUUGUAAAGCACUUUCAGUGAGGAAGAACGCCUGGUGGUUAAUACCCAUCAGGAAAGACAUCACUCACAGAAGAAGCACCGGCUAACUCCGUGCCAGCAGCCGCGGUAAUACGGAGGGUGCGAGCGUUAAUCGGAAUUACUGGGCGUAAAGCGCGCGUAGGUGGCUUGAUAAGCCGGUUGUGAAAGCCCCGGGCUCAACCUGGGAACGGCAUCCGGAACUGUCAAGCUAGAGUGCAGGAGAGGAAGGUAGAAUUCCCGGUGUAGCGGUGAAAUGCGUAGAGAUCGGGAGGAAUACCAGUGGCGAAGGCGGCCUUCUGGACUGACACUGACACUGAGGUGCGAAAGCGUGGGUAGCAAACAGGAUUAGAUACCCCGGUAGUC